CAAUCCCUGUCUCUCUACCAUGCUAGGUAGAUAGCAGGAUGCGGCCUUGUGGGUGGUAGCUGGUAUGUUGGUGGAAACUCCAUGCUUCCAUGGAACCAGCUGUAGAGGAGUGGUGAUGCAAUGAGCAUCCUGGAAGUUUAGUUGUCAUUUGUCACCUUUUGGAUAAUGGAGUAGAUUUCUGAAGCUAUUUCUCCUUGUUUGGUGUUCUGCCUGCAAUUUGGACAAGUGGACUUCAGAUUAUGUCUUCGUAGACUGAAAGGCUUGGAGAAGCCUGAAGUGCUCUGAAGGCUGCCAACAAAAUGUCAAGUGAGUCCACUGACAAAAAGGAAGAGAAACCUUGGAAAAACAUUAUUGCUUAUGUUCCAUCUGAAUCUGAGCAGCUGACCUGAGGAAGGAGGGAAGCACAGGGAAGUGGAACAUCAGAGAGGAGAAGCCUGGCUCAACUUGGCAGAGAAGGCAUCUUCAGAGAAGGAGUGCCCACACUGACACCUGAAUGAUGACUAGUGCUUAACCAGAUGAACUGGAUGAGAAAGGCAUUUCAGACACAGGGCAUAGCAUGAACAAGGGUCCAGAGAUGAGGGUGCAAGCAGAGUCCAGGGUGCACAGGGAGUUCAGUACAGCUGGAGCUCAGAUGCUAGGGAGAGGAGUAGGGAGAAAAGAGGCUCCAUUACAAAAAUGUAGGCAUGAGAUCAAAGGGAACCUGGAGUACUAUGCUAAGGGGACUCAAUCCUAGGUGAUGGGGAGGCAUUGAAGGAUUUAGGUGAGAUUGGCAUUUAGGAAGCUCACUUGAAGCAGUGUUGAAUGGGUAGGAGUGGGGUAAGACUGGAGCUGGUGCAGCAAUAUGGGUGAGUGUAGCUGUGUGUGAAAAAAGGUCCGAGUUUAAUGGGAAAACUAAGGAGUGUGGGGUGGGAGGAAACUUGAUGAGAGAGGAUUUCCAAGGAUAAUAUUCUAGAUGUGUGGGUUGAUGACAAUGCUGAGAGCAGGGACAGAGGAAGAGAAGCAGGCUUGCUGGGGGGAAAUGAUGAACUUCUUGAGGUUCUUACCAGACACCUAAGUGGAGAUGCCCUUUGGGUGCCACAUGCGCCCACACUGCUGAUAAGGGAUCUGCAUAGUGGGGGGAGAUUUGGAAGUCAAUGAAGCCACAGAUAGGGAUGAGCUUUUCAAAGAAGAGUGUGUGGAGUGAAAGGGUUAGGGACAUAGAACCAAACCCUGAGACCCACUCCACUGAAGGCAAAGAAGAGGAGGAGUAUACAGAGAACACAAGGAAGAAGUGGUCAAAACGUAGAAGGAAGAUUGGUCUCCAGGGGUGGGGGGGGGGGGUCCUGAAUUUGAGCAUGAUUUUUAGUGCACAAUAGAUCCCACAGAGCUUUCAAGAAACACUUGGUGGUUGGUGAAGACCCAAAUAAUGGUGAGUGUGUUUUACAUUUUAGAGUUCCAGGUAAUUUUCCUUCUUGGUAUCAUCUGGUUAUGGUAUAUAAUUUGGAGGAAAAAACUACUUUCAUUCACUUUUUAUUUUUCCUCAGAAAGACUUGAAGAAAUACAAAACCAUAGGACUUUUGGUAUGUGAUGGAGACAUUCCAUACAAUUAGUACAGAACAUAGACAAAUGGAAAAUAUUGUGUUUUGCUUGAAAUUAUCUCUGUGGACUAAAAUGUAAACCUAGAUUUUGCAUAUGCAUGUGUAUUUAUUAAUGACAUUAUUUAACUCUCAUUCUAGAUAGUUUUGUGUUGAACUCUAUUUAGAUGAGUAGAGACAUACUAAUUAUCUCAGUUAAUUAGCCAAAAUAAAUCUACAUAGUUUAACACAUCAAAGAUUUAUUUUCCACUCAUGGUUUAUAUUUACUAUGGGUCAGUGGGAGUUAUGCUCCACAUGAUUACUCAGGGAUUCACUCUGACAUGGGUCCACCGUAUUUUUUUUUUUUUUUUGAGACAGAGUAUUUUUAGUAGAGACGGGGUUUCACCAAGUUGGCCAGGCUGGUCUCAAGCUCCUGACCUCAGGUGAUUCACUCACCUCAGCCUCCCAAAGUUCUGGGAUUACAGGUGUGAGCCAUUGCCAGGCCCACCAUCUUAAAACUGCACCAUCCUCAGCAGGGGAAAAAGAGAGAUGCUGUAUCACAUCCUGUCUCUGCAAUGCUUUGUCUGGGAAGGGGCACGUACCGCUUUGAUCCACAGCACAUUGGCCAGGACUAAGCAUGCAGUCUCAUCUAAUUGCAUGGAGGAGCACAAUUCCUCCAUGGCAGGUGGUACAGUUCUCUGCCACACUCGAUAUUGUAUAAAUCCAGGGUCCCAGAAGAUAGAAGGCAGCAAAAUAUAAGGAAAUUAAUGAUACCUUACAAUUAAUAUUAACAGUAUUACCAAAAUACUUUUCUUAAAAAUUAUGUAAACCCAGUGUGCAUCUAUAUAAUUUUACAAUAUCUAGUUUCAUUAGAAGCAAUUUAUUUUUUAAAACCCAGUUCUUUGGAUUUAGAAAUAUUAUUUGUAAUAUUGUAAUACCACAUUAACAUUACAUUUAUAUAUUUUCCAGUAUCAAUUUAAUUAAGAGUAACUAGACUGUAUUUUAUUGUUGUUUUUAUAUGAAAAUAAGUAUAAAAAUGUAGAAAAUUGCAGUCAUAAAAAGUUUCAGCUACUUUGCCUCUGCCAUAAAACCUAAUCUUGGUAUAAUUAAAAUAUGUCAUGAUAUAUUUCUAUCUUUGCUUUCUGUAGAAACUGUGCAAAUGCUAGACAGAUAAAUCACACAGUCACUUAUAAAGAAUUGAAUUUCAACAAAAAAAAUUACCAAUAGAUGUUUUUUUCUUAUUUCAGUUUAUAAGGAAAUUGCUAGACUAUGAAAAGUUAAAUUUCCCAGUUUUAUUAUACAAUAUGUUUUUAUUUCUUUUGAACUAAAGCAUUCAAUAAAAAGUUCCCAAGUUUGAAAUUACCAAUCAUUUAGAGAGAAUAAAGCUCAUGUGUAAGAUUUGUUUUCUUAGAAGACAAGUUAGGGAAUAGUUCUGUUUUCUUUUCUUGGCUCAGAUUCUACAACUUCAUGGUGGAAAUUUUAUCCUUGAACUUCUAAUGUCAUUUUAUGUUUAUCUUAAGUUUCUAUUUUUAUACUUUAGUAUAAUUUUAGAGUGUUGCCAGUUUCAUAGCAUAUUAAUUACUUUCUUUUUAGAAGAUUAUAUUUAAAAAUAAAAUUAGUAAUUAAAGCACAAUUUGAUUAUAAUAGCAUUCUAUUUCCUGAUUUUGAAUUUAUCAUGAAAUUGAUAAAAAUUAUAACUUGCAGCUGUUUACAAACACUUGUAUAUAUUACACUUUUUCCUAGUUAGGACAUAUUUAUUUCUCAAGCAGACUUUUAAAAAAUGUUUUUAUCUUUAAAAAAAAAAAAACUUUGAGGUUCAGAGUUACACGUGCAGGUUUCUUAUAUAGGUAAACUUCUGCCACAGGAGUUUGUUGUACAGAUUAUUUAGCCACCUGGGUACUAAGCCCAGUGCCCAGUAGUUAUUUUUUUCUGAUCUUCUCCUUCCUUCCAGCCACCUCUUUGUGUCCAUGCGUUCCCAUCAUUUAACUCCCACUUACAAGUGAGAACAUGCAGUAUAUGGUUUUCUGUUCCUGUGUUAGUUUGCUAAGAAUAAUGGCCUCUAGGCUCUAUUCAUGUUCCUGCAAAAGACAUAAUCCCUUCCCCUUUUUUUUUUUUUGAGACAGAGUCUUGCUCUUGUCACCCAGGCUGGAGUGCAAUGGCAUGAUCUGAGUUCACUGCAACCUCUGCCUCCCAGGUUCAAGUGAUUCUCCUGCCUCACCCUCCUGAGUAGCUGGAAUUACAGGUGCCCUCCACCACACCCGUUUAAUUUUUUUAAUUUUCAGUAGAGACUGGGUUUUGCCAUGUUGGCCAGGCUGGUCUGGAACUCCUGACCUUAGGUGAUCCACCUGCCUGCCUCAGCCUCCCAAAGUGCUGGGAUUACAGGUGUGAGUCACUGCGCCCAGCCCAAUCUCUUCCUUUUUUAUGGCUGCAUAGUAUUCUAUGGUGUAUAUGUACCAAGUUUCUUUUUCUUUUUCUUACUUUUUUUUUUUUUUGAGAUGGAGUUUCCCUCUUGUUGCCCAGGCUGGAGUGCAGUGGCACGAUCUCAGCUCACUGCAACCUCCGCCUCCCAGGUUCAAGUGAUUCUCUUGCCUCAGCCUCCCGAGUAGCUGGGAUUACAGGCACACGCCACCAGACCUGGCUAAUUUUUGUAUUUUUAGUAGAGACAGAGUGUCACCACAUUGGCCAGGCUGGUCUCGAACUGCUAACCUCAGGUGGUCCACUUUCUUUAUCCAAUCUGUCAUUGAUGGUCAUUUAGGUGAUUCCAUGCCUUUGCUAUUGUAAACACUGUUGCAGUGAACAUACAUGUGCAUGUGUCUUUAAGGUAGAAUGAUUUCUACUCCUUUGGGUGCAUACCCAGUAAUGGAAUUGCUGGGCCAGUGGUAGUUCUGUUUUUAGUUCUUUGAGGAAUCACCACACUGUCAAGCUGACUUUUUAAAAGAAGUUUUAAAAAAUACACUUUUAUAAAUAGAGUUUUAGAUUUUCAAUUUCAUAUUUUAUGUUGGAUAUUCAGGAGAAACCCUUACUUAUCAGACAAUCUUUUUUCCCCCUCAACUUAAUUUCUGAAUAUCAUUUUAAAACUAUACAUUUAAAUUACUUUACAAGACAUUUAUAUAAAUUAUAGAACACUAAGCUCAUGGCUUUCUCCACCAUCCCCACUUUUUUAAGAAAACAGAAGUCCUUGUAUUUGAAAUUGUGCAGAAAGAUUAACAUGGUAUCAGGAAUCUGUUUUUCUGCAAAUAAUAGAAAACCAACUAACACUGACUAACAGAUUAUAAGAAGUAGGGUAGGGUUGGUGGGUAGCAGGGAGUCCAGGCUGUUCCUGUGGCUCGGCAAAGCCACCAGAACCCAGCUCCUUUAAAUCCCUCUGUUUUGUCACCCUCAACAUGCAGACUUUCUGGCUCAGUCUUGGUGUGCCUUAUGGUUAUGAGGUGGCUGCUGCCCUUCAAACCUCUCAUCCAUGGUCCAGGUAGAAAUAAGGAGGAAGGGGGAAAGCAAAAGGCUACCUCUCAACAAAGCUUUCUUUUAUAUUUCAGACAAAACAUCUUCGUCAGGGCCACUCACAUCUUAUUGCCAGACUGAAUUGAAUCACUAUGCCUAGCAGCAAGGACAGCAGGGAGGCUGAAUAGUUUGAAUUGUUUUGUUAGUAAGAAAGUGGAAAUGGAUACUAAAUAGGCAAUUAGGGUUAUCUCACGAACUUAAGUGAGUUAAAAUAAAGCCACUUGUAUAAUUAAAAACUUAAUAUAACCGUAUAUAUUUGACCAGCACAUUAGAAAUAUUGGAUUUUUAUUCAUAAGUGGCCUCAUUUUAGCUUCCACCCCUAUAAAGAGAGCCACAUUUGAAUAUUUCUCACCUGGGUAUUUCUUAUUAUUUUUUAAAACGACGUUUGAUUAUUUAAGAAAUAAAAUGAGGAGUACUCUUUUGGUUAAUUCCUGAGGUAAGCAGGCAGAUGUAACAGAUCUGAUUAAGGAAAUGCAGAAACCUAAACACACAAAUCCAAGUGUAUACAAUGGUUACUAGAUGAUGAAAUGUUACAUCUCUUAGUUUUGUCCUAUGACAUGUUUUAAUUCUUUUUUAAUUUCUUUACAUGAACUUGCUCCUAUAAAGUCCAAAGCAAGUGUUCCUGAUUGGCACAUAGUGCUUUUCCAACUGGUUCCAUCUCCUGGCUCUGCCAUCUUUGACACAUGGCUUCCAAGGCUGCAUGUUGAUCUGCAUACCUUCCACCUCAUCAUUCAUCCUCCAUUUCCUCAACUCCUUGUACUGCAAAUGCUGCUAUAACAAACAUGCCCAUUUACCAUGUGCAUUUGAGAAAACUUCCCUGGGGGUUGUUCAGAAGGGAAUUUCUGGGUCCUAGUUAAUGGUGCUGGGUUGCUUUCCAGCAUGGCCGCCCCAGCCCCUGCCUGUGUUCCCACCAAUAGUGCACAGCGGUUCCAAGUUCCACCAACUUUGAUGCUAUCCAGCUCUCUAGUUUUGUCAAUCUGAUGGGUCUGUAAUGUCAGAUUUUGGUUUAAAUUUGCAUUUCUAGAAUUAAUGAGUUUGAGAAAUCUUUAUAUGCUUUUUAGCAUCUUGAGUUUUCCCUUCAGUUAAUUGUUUGUUCAUUUUAUUUGCCCAUUUUUCUAUUGGGUUCUGAAAAAAAAAAUUUCUGAUCUCUUUUUAGCUGAUAAACAAGUCUCAUAUAUAGAUUUUCAUAAUUAGAAUUUAAGCAGCCCUCUCUGAAGUGUGGAUUCCUGUUCAAAAUAUUUCAAGUGUUAACUAACCAUUUCUCCUUAUUCUCUCUCUCACAUAUGUACGAUGCUAUUUAUAAUGAAGUAAAUUUGAAGAAAUUAUCACUUUAAUUAUGUAACAAUCUGUCUAGUUAGUUUUUAACUAAGGAUUUCUUUGGAGUAGUUAAUUUAGUUUUAAACUAUCACUGUUUUCUUUAUGCCUACUAUAAAUCUUUUACCAUCUAAAUGCACAAAAACAUACAGUUUUUUUUUUUUUUACCAUUUCUGGGGGUUAAAACUCUCAUCUUAUAGUAAAUUAAACCUAUUAAAAAACUAAAGAAGGUGGGAGGUCUGGUUUUCUUUCUUCUACCUGCCUCGCUCCCUCUCUCCCUCCCUCUCUCUCUCCCUCUCUCUCCAUCUAUCCCUCCCUUUCUCCUUCCCUCUUUCCUUCUCUCUCUCACUCUCUGGUGUGUUAGUCAAAAUAAGAGCCUUGGAAAUUUGGAGCUCUAUGAUUUUGGGGAUGUUUUUAAGGUGUACAAUGUUGUCUAAAGCAGAAUAUCGCAUUUGAGGGAAAUAUUUUUUUAUCCCAGAGAACAUAAAGGCUCUAUAGCCAUAAGAUAUCCACACAAACUGCACCAUUAUCCUGGUUGACGUGGGGCUUCCUUGGACUCUCCAUUCAUACUUAGCCUCUCACCCAGGAGAAGAACAUCCCCAGACUAGUCUGCCUUAGCUCUCCCCAGGAGAUGUUUACGUCAGGGGAAAAAUACAUUCAAACCCAUCUGUCUUGUGUUAAGAUUUCACUGUAUACAGACGAGAUCCUCCAGAGGUCCUUAUUUCAGAAGUCCAGCUUGCCUUCAUGAUGGGCUUACAGUGCAGGCUGAGCAUGCACCUUCACCCCCAGAAAAAUCUGGAGGUUCCACCUAAGCCAGCACACGGUUCUGAAACUGUUACCUUAAAUUUCUGUUUUCAACUAGAAGUGCCUAGUCCUUAAUAAUACACCUGGGGAGACAAACUCAUCAACACCACCUUUAUCCUUGAGUCUAGACAAAAUAUUUACAUUUUUCUGGCCUGAAUCUGGCAGCCAAACCUGUUCAGGCGAGCUGGACACACAUACAGAUUGCACAUUUGUGGAAACCUUCAUUAGGGUUUCCUAGUAGCAAGUCAUCUGUCCCGUGGCCUCUCUGUCAAACAGUCUCUCUGUUGGAGGCACCUCAUAGUGGAAGAACCAGCUUCUAGUAUUUGGGCCAAAAUCUGUUAGAAGCAGGCUUUAAUGAUAGAAUUCUAGCUACUGUUGAGAGACGGAGUACACAGAGGGCCUUUUUAAUCAAAGUACUCUCCUACCAAGUGACAGAGUUAACAUAUUUUUAUAAAGUGCAAAUUACUUUAUCGUUUAUUAACAGAAGGAAAGGAUACAAUGCAGUUUUCCCAUUCCUUAAACGCCUUGUCAGAGGAAGCUUGUGGCUGCUCAUCACUAGUGAGGCAGAUAAAUAGCUACAUUUUUCAGAAGGCCGCCUGCUCAUUGUGGUCACUUCUCACUUUCCAGCUGCCUUACCCACUGCUUAGCUACAUCUGUUGGAUGUGUAGGCGAGCUCUGGAAUGCAGAAUUCCACAUAGGCAAGGAAUGGUGUGGAUGUGUCUGUUAUAUGUAGGUUAUAGCCAGCUCAUUAACAGUGCUGGGAGCCAUGCAGUGGGUUUCACUUUUAUCUUGAAGUCAUGAAACUCUUAGUAGAUUUUGAGCAGGGGAGCAGCAUAAUCCUGAGUGAUAAAAUUUGAGCCCAUUUGGAAAGAUCCUCAUGCCUACUCUACACACUCACUGAUUGUCUUUCAGGUGGCUCAUCCAAGCUGAGACAUGGUGUUUCAAGAGGUGAAACCACAGGGAAAGUUUGAAAUGAAAGUCAUAUGGGAAGAAAGGGAGAGAAGCAAGUUGGAAAUCUUUCUAGAUCACCAUCCCGUAUUGGUACCCAUGCCUCAGUUUAUUUCUGCUGGAGAAGGUGAUGCUAGAAGCUCAGGUUCUCUGUCCUCUCCAUGAUCCUGUGAGCUGUCUAAUAUCCCUCCAUAAAAGCCUGCUGUCUUAAACUAGCUAAAGGUGACUUUCUUGUUUGUAUCUAAGAACUUUCACCAAUACACAUCGCUUUCUCCCUCUCUCUCAACUUACUCUUCACUUCUUUAGGGUAAUGUAAAUUUAAAGUAAUCAGGUUUUCCUGAUUAUGGCACUUCACCCUAUUAUAGAGGCUCACAGCUCCAGAUGUUUCUCCUUUAUAGUGCUUAUUGUAAGUGCAGUUAUAUACUUAUUUAUAGGAUUAUUUAAUAAUCCUUUCUUUCCACUAGAGUGGAAAUUCAGUGAGGGCAAGAACCUGGUGCUGUAGGUGUCUCUGGUGCUUAGCACAGGGUAUGACUCACAGGAGGAACAGAGUUACAGUAGUUGCAGAACAUCUUUGGCAAUGAAUAGUUAAUGAAUAAGGACUUCAGGUUGCUCUAUGUUUCCAGGGUUCUUGUGGGUCUCAGGGCAUGGAAAUGGUCAGAGAUCUUGAGGAUGGUGUUACUGCUCUGGGAGAGUAGAUUGAUUUUCCCUUAUUUCUAAGUCUGUAUUUCCACAUAGUUUGCGCUCCUGCUGUUUUUUAGUCUCUCUCUGGCUUUUCAUAAAAAACACUCAUUUUAUUUUUGGAACAGUACUUGUAUAACCAGGGCUUUUCAGUUCCUAUCUGGUGUGUGUUUGGGGACUGAUUGUAGCUCAAAGUGCUAAAAAGGAAAAUGGCAUUUGUCACUGGGUUGUAGUACUGUACACUCUGCUUUCUUAAAAGCCACAUUUUACUCUUCAAGGCUGAUUAUUCCCUAGUGGUUUGGGUAGACGUUUGGCUCAGGGAUACAACCACAGUAUUCAGAAUGUGACAUCUGUGAUGGAAUCUGGGCUCUGCCUCUCACCACCUGUAUGACCUUGGACAGGAGACCUAAUAUUUCUGGAACUCAGUUGCUUCAUUAAAAUGAGGAUGAAGAUACUUUCAUGGUUGCUGGAAGGAUUAAAUAGAAAAUACUAGUGAAGUCCUGAUCCAAAGUAAAUACUCAGCAAAUCUUUGUAUAAUACAUCUCCAUGCCCUUUCUUUUUCCCCUCUUUCUCAAAAUAAUCUGAGGAGGCCACCCAUGGAGAAUUUUAUCUAGGCUCGACCCCAGAAUCUCUGAAUGAAUGAGUGAAUUAACUCAGUGAAUGAAGAAAGGAAGAUUUGAAUGAAUGAUAAUGUGAGCCAUACAAUUCAUUACUAAAGGAUGCUGGGACAGUAGUGGUGACAGUAAUUAUUUAGUGAGUGCCCAAAGGCUGGACUUUGUGGCAGGCAGUUUACAGAAAUUAUCUCAUGUAACUAUUGUAAGAGUCCUUUAAGAAAGUUACCAUAGUCACCAUUUUACAAAUGAGGAAACAAAACCUCAGUGAAAUUGUCACAUAACAGUGGUGCCAUGACUAGUAAGUGGUUUUACUAAGGUGUCAUGAAAAUAGAAGGCCACAGAUAUGUAUGUGUGUGCGUAGAUGUAUUUGUGGGUAUAUGUAUAUAUGUAUCACACUCAUACAUACAUGUGUAGUAUUUAUCUUAGUCUCCCCAAAAUAGUAGUCAUCCAGGACAUGAUUGUACAGUUAUUGAGUGACUAUAAAUGUUGGUGGUGAUUGGAAGAGUAAAGGCAGAUAAAGUGAAGGGUAGAACAGGAAUGGUAGCUUUGACAAGGUAGCCUUGGGAAGGGGAACACAAAGGCAAUUGACAGAGGGCUUUUGGGGCUACCUUCCUGUUCUUUAGAGAUGAGAGACCUGGGAGAGUUUUCUGAGCCUCUGAGUAAGGCAAGAAGGUUCACAGAUCCCAGGAUCCAAGGCUGCAGGGCUAGUAUCCAGCAAGGGCACUGAUGAAACCAUUGGGCACGUGUGUACAUCUUUGCAUGUAGUGAAUUAAGUGAUGUAUGUCAGCAUCCAGAGCUUUCCCUCUUAAGGGCUUCCAAGUAGCUUUAUAGUUGUAAUAACACUGGAAACACAUGGAAUAUUGACACCCAGUUUUUGAGUGACAUGAAGCAGACUGUCUUGAGUGGACAUAUAGAUUGAAAGCACCAGUUUAAGUUGGAUGGGGAUCCUGUAUGGCCCUGAACCCUGGUAUCACAUAGCCUUGGAUUAUUUGUCUUUCUGUGUUUUAUUUCCUCAUUCGUAGAUGGAGAUAUAAAUGUGUUUAUCUGAUACAAUUUUUGUGAGGUGAAGAUGAAAUAAUGUAUGUAAGGCACAGCACAAUUCCUGGCACCUAGUUAGUGCUUAAUAAAGUACAUAUAUUUAUAAUGAUUCCCAUGAAAAAUUUGUUACAGGGAAAAACAUUUGUAAGCCUUAGUCCAUUCAGCUUUAGGAUCACUAACAAGACACAGAGGCUCUUUGGAAGGUUUGUACCUUGGUUUAUUUUGCUAACAUAUUCUGGUCCUAGUUUAGUGGGACUGACCCAGAGUGAGCUUUAACCCAGGCUGUUAACACUCUGGACAACUAGUGAAGAGGAAGAGAGAAGGCAUUUCCCAGGGCUGCCAUGUGCCACUCGGGGUACUGGGCCUUGAGGACAGUGUGGAGUCCUUUGUCUUUGGCCAUUUCCCUUCCAUGCCUGAGCAUUGUGGGGUUGGAGACACCAGCCAUCUUCCAGCCUGUGGUGUCGACACUCAGGUGGUCAGCACCAGUCAUGGCUGCCAUCACACCUGUGCACCAGCAUCCUCUAGUCAGCUGCAGUGUCUGCAUACUUGGCCUCCAUAACUUUUCUCAGCUUUUGAAAUAGGCUGAUUGAACCUGAGAUCAGACCUUCCUGAGCAAGGUCAAGAGGGUACAAACGGGGAGGUAAGGCAUAUUAAAUGGGUAGUCAGAGUAGACAAGCCUUGAGGGAAAUGGAGCAGGUUCUUCAUCCUAGAAGUCAUAUUAAAUGGAUGCUUAAUUGUCUAAUUCAGGAUGGUUCUCCGGAAUGAGGUACUAACAAGGGGAAGAACCCUACAUCUUGGCUCCAGGUCCUUAUCUCAGACUUAAGGUCACAGUUCCUGAAGCAUGUUGGAGUGAAUGCUGGUCCCAAAAAUGUUUAAGGAGGUAAAGGGUUCCAUAGUCAAAUUGGUCUGAGAAACACUUGCCUAUUGCCUUAGAUGAUUUGCAGUAAACAUCCUGAAAAUUCCUAGAAUAAACAAAACCUGUUCAACCCAUUAUUUUCAAGAACAGAACUUUUCAGGGAGCCUUAAAAAAUCGCAUCAAUUGAAGAAUAUUCUAUGUGCUCCAUGCAGUGCACAUUAGGAAAAUCAGGCUCAAGGGCUUCUUGAACUGAAGCAGUCAGUGGGGAGUUAUUUCUUGUGUCUUCCCAGCCCUGUUCCUUCUUUCAGUGAAGGUUCUCUGUGUCUUCUUUGAGCAAUGCUCCUCCCCUCUCCCCUGCACCAUCUGUCUCCCAGAUAUUUGUUCUUGGUGGUGAGGAGAGAGGGAGGCUGUCAGACAUGGACCCUAGUCCCAUGCAUAGCCCCAGGGGCUGUACCUGACACAGGGAGGGCCAAAGCAGUGCUUAAUCAAGACUUUGAGCCAGUACCGAGGAGAAGAGCACUUCCCUUUCUGAAGUUAUAGCAGACAAAAUGUGAGCUUGAGAGCUGCCAUCUACUACAGAACCCACCUAGUAAUAAAAAUUGGUUAGAAAAAACCUGCCAAUAUGCAAAAAGGGCAGACAUGAGGGGCACCUAGUUAGGGCCUA